rnacentral:tRNA from 1 species
GGGCGAGUGGCGGAAUGGUAGACGCGCUGGCUUCAGGUGCCAGUGGGUGCAAGCCCGUGGAGGUUCAACUCCUCUCUCGCCCA